AAAUUCAACUCAGGUCUCCCAUAUGGAUGGCAGGAUCCAAAUACAUGAACCUCACAUGCUACUUCCAGAGUGAACAUUAACAGGAAUGUUAAUAAUGCCAUUUCUGCUACCUGAAACACCCCUUCCAGCUUGAUUCUUUUGAUGAUCCAGCUCCAAAUUGAGUUUUGCCUCCUGACAGAGAUGUUGAACCAUCCACACAAUGCUUUGGCUCUCCCACUCUUCCAAAGAAGUGCUGUGCUGUCACAUGCUCUAUUUUCUCUUUUAAUUGCUCAUCGAUGUUCCUGUGAGAAUAGACAUGUGUUCUUGGAAUUUAGUUGAGCUUCUGCUUUAGAGCAAUUUGACAAGGUAAUGUGAUCUUCCCAGGUUACAGUUUGUGUGAGAUGGUAGAUCAUUCAUUUCCCGAGUCAGUUCUAGAAGAACUCUUCCAGGUCUUGUGAUUGGCCUUGUCCAGUGGGAUCUUCUCCACCAAGACCAAAGUGUUGGAAGCUGUAGGAUCUACUUUCAUCCUGAAGAGAUCAAGACAGGAUCCAGAAAACUGGACUAGCAAUAUUUAGUUGUCUGGUGUUCCAAUGCGCCUCACAUGGACUCCGCCUCCAAAAUGCCUAUUACCAUAACUGCUAGAAUUAACACUGCCUGUUUUGAUUUGCAGCCAAAGCCCUUUGCUUUCAAACUAAGUGAACACUAUUGUAAUACCCAAUAAAC